rnacentral:rRNA from 1 species
UUGAUCCUGGCUCAGGAUGAACGCUAGCGGCAGGCCUAACACAUGCAAGUCGAGGGGUAGAAGUUUUCGGACUUUGAGACCGGCGCACGGGUGCGUAACGCGUAUGCAAUCUACCUUGUACAGAGGGAUAGCCCAGAGAAAUUUGGAUUAAUACCUCAUAGUAUAUUUGAAUGGCAUCAUUUAGAUAUUAAAGUUCCAACGGUACAAGAUGAGCAUGCGUCCCAUUAGUUAGUUGGUGUGGUAACGGCACACCAAGACGAUGAUGGGUAGGGGUCCUGAGAGGGAGAUCCCCCACACUGGUACUGAGACACGGACCAGACUCCUACGGGAGGCAGCAGUGAGGAAUAUUGGUCAAUGGAGGCAACUCUGAACCAGCCAUGCCGCGUGCAGGAUGACGGUCCUAUGGAUUGUAAACUGCUUUUAUACGGGAAGAAAAAGAGUUACGUGUAACUUAUUGACGGUACCGUAAGAAUAAGGAUCGGCUAACUCCGUGCCAGCAGCCGCGGUAAUACGGAGGAUCCAAGCGUUAUCCGGAAUCAUUGGGUUUAAAGGGUCCGUAGGCGGUCUUAUAAGUCAGUGGUGAAAGUUUUUAGCUUAACUAAAAAAUUGCCAUUGAUACUGUUAGACUUGAAUUACUUGGAAGUAACUAGAAUAUGUAGUGUAGCGGUGAAAUGCUUAGAUAUUACAUGGAAUACCAAUUGCGAAGGCAGGUUACUAUGAGUUAAUUGACGCUGAUGGACGAAAGCGUGGGUAGCGAACAGGAUUAGAUACCCUGGUAGUCCACGCCGUAAACGAUGGAUACUAGUUGUUUGGCCGCAAGGCUGAGUGACUAAGCGAAAGUGAUAAGUAUCCCACCUGGGGAGUACGAACGCAAGUUUGAAACUCAAAGGAAUUGACGGGGGCCCGCACAAGCGGUGGAGCAUGUGGUUUAAUUCGAA